rnacentral:lncRNA from 1 species
UUUUGGCAUUCGAGCAUGCAAGAAGAGCUUUCAGGGUCGUCAAACCCGUCAAAGUUGGGCCUUGUCUCACAUAACAAACAAGCCUAUCAAACAUUUCAAUUUGUUAGAGCGGUAAGAAGCUCCUCACUGCUUUAACUAUGACUAGUAGAACGUUAGCAACUAGACUUAUCCUAAACAGAGUUUUCGUACAGACAAUUAUGCUGUUCUCCAAUGAUCAAGCUGAUGAAAACAUAAAAGAUAAUUUUACUGCAAAAAAGAAGCUAGAGAAGGAGAGACCACUGCUUGUACAUGGAAGAGAUGAUAAUAAUACAAAACUGUUGAUAUAUACAUGUGUAGAGGAAUCAUUUCACAAGGAACAUUUGUUGUAAUUUAGUACCUUGAUCGAAAUGUAAUAUGUAAAAUACAAGACAUAAUAAAUCUCAAUUGAAACUUUACAUGUAUUUUUUACAAGUUCUAUAUGCUAUCUAUAAAGGAUUAAGCGCUUAAGAUAAUUGAAUAAGAAUAACCACUAAGAAAACAACACAAUUUAAUGCAGUAGAAAUUCUUGGUCUUUGAUUAAACAUUCUAUGUUUCAUGAAUCUUCACCAUGUUGUUGUAAUAUAUGAAAGCCAUGUAUGAAGGUUAUAGCUUCUAGUUACAAAACAAGAGCUAGUUCUAAAAAUAAGAAGUACAAAGAAAACAUAACAAAGAGAUGAGAAGAGGACAUGCCUGAUACUGCUUCUGUCUGAAACCAAAGCUCAAAAAUCAUCUUCCGUGGAUGAUGUCUUGUUUUCUUUCUUUUCUUGUAACAGCUUUGUUGAAUGAUCUUGUUCUGUAAAACUAGAAAGAGCUUUUAGAGAGAGAGAGAGCAAAAUGAGUAGAGAUUCUG